CCCAGAUGACCCAAAUACAAUCCCACCCAGAUUUCAUCAAGAAUUCUGACCAAAUUUCAUAAAGGUUGGAUGAAAACUGUGAUCUCUAAUGUCUACACAAGGUUUUCUAUUAUUUGACCUAGUGACCUAGUUUUUGACCCCAGAUGACCCAAAUAAAAUCCCAACCCAGAUUUCAUCAAGAUAAACAUUCUGACCAAAUUUCAUAAAGAUUGGAUGAAAACUGUGACCUCUAUUGUCUACAGAAGGUUGUUCUAUUAUUUGACCUAGUGACCUUGUUUUUGACCCCAGAUGACCCAAAUACAAUCCCAAACCGGAUUUCAUCAAGAUAAACAUUUUGACCAAAUUUCAUCAAGAUUGGAUGCAAACUGUGACCUCUACUGUCUACACAAACAAAUUGUUGACGGACGGACGCACGGACACACGCAGGCACGCACAACGGACAUCACACGAUCACAUAAGCUCACCGUGUCACUUCAUGA